AGCAAACCGACCCUUCACCUCCUUACCUGCUCCCCUUAUCAGCUAGCUGCCUUCUGACCCUGGAGGGAGGAACUCUGGCUCCUAUUCCAUAGAUGAGGGAACUGAGGCUCAGAGAAGCUUCACACCAACUCCUGUCCUCCAAGGGAAGGCAGCAGGGAUCGUGGUGAUGUUCUGGGAAUGGGUGUGGCUGUUCCCAGGGAAUGGGGAUCCUCCCAUCCCAGCAAAGGACUAUCCAGCUGCACUCAGACCUCCUGGAUUCAAAUCUGUACAAUUAGACCCUUAGACCCUCUGUGCUUCAGUUUCCCCAACUGGAGAUAAUAGCAAGGCCAACCUCAUCUGGUUGUUGUGAGGAUUAAAUCCAUCACCUAAUGAGAAGCUUCCUGAAGCAUUUUCACAGAUGCUUGCAAAGCUCCUAUGGCCAGGUGGAAAUGAGGACAAAGACCCUGAGAGACAGGAAGAAGGAGACCGAGACAGAGGAAGCGGGCGGUGGCGGAACAGAGAGAAAUAAGCGGAUAUGAAGAGACAACAGGGCUGGAGAGACACGGGGAGAGUGACAGUGACAGAGAUGGAGAGAGCAGAAACCAAAACUCAGACAGAUCUGACUCCCGCAUCGCCUUCCGUAACUAGAGAUGGGGUUUAACUGUGUUACCCAGGAUGGUCUCGAUCUCCUGACCUCGUGAUCCCCGUUGAUGCAGCAAUUCCACUUCUAGGAUGUACCCUAUGGAUAUACUUGCACAAGAACACAGUUGCAAUUUGUCAUGGCAAAAGCCUGCAAGCCACCAUCACUAAGGAACUGGCUGUUUACAUCCUGCUCUGUGUCCACCAUGGAACGCCACACAGCCUUGAAAAAGGAGGGUGCUCUCUACGUACUGAUAUCAUCAAGAUCUACUGUUGCUGAAAAUCACAAGGCACAGAACUAGUGUGUAGAGUCCUCUGAUAUCUGUAAGAAAGCAAAGCAAAUACAUGCUUUUGCCCACAUGUUCACAGAACCCUUCUGAAAAGCAACACAAAAGACUGUCACAGUGAGGAGCUGAGAGGGUGAAGACAAAUGUAAGAGGGAGACUGGCUUUUCACUGCACGCUUGUUGUACCUUUGGUAUUUGGUGCCACAUGGUAUUAUCUAUGGACAAAAUGAGUUAAAGUUAUACACGAUGCGCAAGUGCUCCAUUUGUGGAUAUAGGAAAAUGCUUGUGAUAAAGUAUUGAGAGAAAAGAAGAUGGCCUAAUUUAUAUAAUGCAUGAUUCACAUAUAUCCAUGAGCUGUCUCUGUAAGUAUAUCCCACAUAUAUCUGUAACUAUAGAGAGAAAUGUCUAAAAAUACUAUCAGC
rnacentral:lncRNA from 1 species